rnacentral:tRNA from 1 species
AGCUUUAUAUUCAAAUAUGAUAUAAAAUUGCAAAUUUUAAGGUGUAAUAUUUUACUAAGGCUU